rnacentral:rRNA from 1 species
GCCGGUGCUUAUUCUGUCGGUAACGUCAAAACAAUCACGUAUUAGGUAACUGCCCUUCCUCCCAACUUAAAGUGCUUUACAAUCCGAAGACCUUCUUCACACACGCGGCAUGGCUGGAUCAGGCUUUCGCCCAUUGUCCAAUAUUCCCCACUGCUGCCUCCCGUAGGAGUCUGGACCGUGUCUCAGUUCCAGUGUGACUGAUCAUCCUCUCAGACCAGUUACGGAUCGUCGCCUUGGUGAGCCAUUACCUCACCAACUAGCUAAUCCGACCUAGGCUCAUCUGAUAGCGCAAGGCCCGAAGGUCCCCUGCUUUCUCCCGUAGGACGUAUGCGGUAUUAGCGUCCGUUUCCGAACGUUAUCCCCCACUACCAGGCAGAUUCCUAGGCAUUACUCACCCGUCCGCCGCUCUCAAGAGAAGCAAGCUUCUCUCUACCGCUCGACUUGCAUGUGUUAGGCCUGCCGCCAGCGUUCA